GUCUUUUUGAUAAUAAUUUAAGGUCCAGUCUGCCCACUGAUUUAGUUUAACGGCCGCAGUAUUUUGACUGUGCAAAGGUAGCAUAAUAAUUAGUUUUUUAAUUGAAAUCUUGUAUGAAUGAUUUGAUGAAAAAAAUACUGUCUCUUUCUUAUAAAUAGAAUUUUAUUUUUAAGUUAAAAAGCUUAAAUUUUAUAAUUAGACGAGAAGACCCUAUAGAGUUUUAUAUAAAUAUAAUUAUUUUAUAUUAGUUUAUUAAUUAAUUAUAAAUAUAUUUUAUUGGGGUGAUACUUAAGUUUAUUAAACCUUUUAUUUCAAUUUACUUUUAUUUGAGAUUAAUUGAUCCUUUAAAAAGAUUAAUAGAUUAAAUUACCUUAGGGAUAACAGCGUAAUUUUUCUGGAGAGUUCAUAUCUAUAGGAGAGUUUG
rnacentral:rRNA from 1 species